UACCCGCGGCCCGAGUGGUGCUCAUUAUUAUUGAACCUAAAGCGUCCGUAGCUGGCCGGGCAAAUCUCCGGGGAAAUCGAGCCGCUCAACGGUUCGAAGGCCGGAGACACUGCUCGGCUUGGGAUCGGGAGAGGGUGAAGGUACUCCCGGGGUAGGGGUAAAAUCCUGUAAUCCGGGGGGGACCACCAGUGGCGAAGGCGUUCACCUAGAACGAAUCCGACAGUGAGGGACGAAGCCCUAGGGCGCAAACGGGAUUAGAUACCCCGGUAGUCUAGGGUGUAAACGCUGCAGACUUGGUGUUGGGGGUCCUGCGUGGGCUCCCAGUGCCGGAGCGAAGGUGUUGAGUCUGCCGCUUGGGGAGUACGGUCGCAAGACUGAAACUUAAAGGAAUUGGCGGGAGAGCACCGCAACGGGAGGAGCGUGCGGUUCAAUUGGAUUCAACGCCGGAAAACUCACCGGGGGCGACGGAGGGAUGAAAGCCAGGCCGAAGACUUUGCCCGAUCCUCCGAGAGGUGGUGCAUGGCCGUCGUCAGUUCGUACCGUAAGGCGUUCUGUUAAGUCAGAUAACGAACGAGACCCUCGCCUUUAGUCGCUAUUUCACGAGCGGUCGUGAGAGCACACUGAAGGGAUCGCUGCUGCUAAGGCAGAGGAAGGAGAGGUCUACGGUAGGUCCGUAUGCCCCGAAUCUCCCGGGCAACACGCGCGCUACAAAGGUGGGGACAAUGGGACCCGACCUCGAAAGGGGGAGGCAAUCCUGAAACCCCAUCGUAGUCUGGAUCGAGGGCUGUAACUCGCCCUCGUGAAAAUGGAUUCCGUAGUAAUCGCGGGUCAACAUCCCGCGGUGAAUGUGCCCCUGCUCUU
rnacentral:rRNA from 1 species